rnacentral:sRNA from 1 species
UUCUCAUCCGCUUCUGG